GACGAACGCUGGCGGCGUGCUUAACACAUGCAAGUCGAACGGAAAGGCCCUGCUUUUGUGGGGUGCUCGAGUGGCGAACGGGUGAGUAACACGUGAGUAACCUGCCCUUGACUUUGGGAUAACUUCAGGAAACUGGGGCUAAUACCGGAUAGGAGCUCCUGCUGCAUGGUGGUGUUUGGAAAGUUUCGGCGGUUGGGGAUGGACUCGCGGCUUAUCAGCUUGUUGGUGGGGUAGUGGCUUACCAAGGCUUUGACGGGUAGCCGGCCUGAGAGGGUGACCGGCCACAUUGGGACUGAGAUACGGCCCAGACUCCUACGGGAGGCAGCAGUGGGGAAUAUUGCACAAUGGGCGGAAGCCUGAUGCAGCAACGCCGCGUGCGGGAUGACGGCCUUCGGGUUGUAAACCGCUUUCGCCUGUGACGAAGCGUGAGUGACGGUAAUGGGUAAAGAAGCACCGGCUAACUACGUG
rnacentral:rRNA from 1 species